GACGAACGCUGGCGGCGUGCUUAAUACAUGCAAGUCAACUGAACUUGAGGUAGUAAUACUUUAAGGGAGGUGGCGCACGGGUGAGUAACACGUAGGUAAUCUGCCUUUAGGUCUGACAUAAUUCCGCGAAAGCGGGACUAACUUCAGAUGAUGCAGCGGCUCGACAUCGAGACAGUUGUUAAAUCUUCGGAGCCUAAAGAUGAGCCUGCGUCUGAUUAGGAGUUGGCGGAGUAAAAGCCCACCAAGCCUGCGAUCAGUAGCUGGUCUGAGAGGAUGAUCAGCCACACUGGAACUGAGACACGGUCCAGACUCCUACGGG
rnacentral:rRNA from 1 species